rnacentral:rRNA from 1 species
UGGGGAAUAUUGCACAAUGGGGGAAACCCUGAUGCAGCGACGCCGCGUGAACGAAGAAGGUAUUCGUAUCGUAAAGUUCUGUCCUAUGGGAAGAUAAUGACAGUACCAUAGAAGAAAGCUCCGGCUAAAUACGUGCCAGCAGCCGCGGUAAUACGUAUGGAGCGAGCGUUGUCCGGAAUUAUUGGGCGUACAGGGUACGCAGGCGGUUUAAUAAGUCGAAUGUUAAAGAUCGGGGCUCAACCCCGCAAAGCAUUGGAAACUGAUAAACUUGAGUAGUGGAGAGGAAAGUGGAAUUCCUAGUGUAGUGGUGAAAUACGUAGAUAUUAGGAGGAAUACCAGUAGCGAAGGCGACUUUCUGGACACAAACUGACGCUGAGGUACGAAAGCGUGGGGAGCAAACAGG